rnacentral:rRNA from 1 species
GACGAACGCUGGCGGCGUGCUUAACACAUGCAAGUCGAACGGAAAGGCCCUGCUUUUGUGGGGUGCUCGAGUGGCGAACGGGUGAGUAACACGUGAGUAACCUGCCCUUGACUUUGGGAUAACUUCAGGAAACUGGGGCUAAUACCGGAUAGGAGCUCCUGCUGCGUGGUGGGGGUUGGAAAGUUUCGGCGGUUGGGGAUGGACUCGCGGCUUAUCAGCUUGUUGGUGGGGUAGUGGCUUACCAAGGCUUUGACGGGUAGCCGGCCUGAGAGGGUGACCGGCCACAUUGGGACUGAGAUACGGCCCAGACUCCUACGGGAGGCAGCAGUGGGGAAUAUUGCACAAUGGGCGGAAGCCUGAUGCAGCAACGCCGCGUGCGGGAUGACGGCCUUCGGGUUGUAAACCGCUUUCGCCUGUGACGAAGCGUGAGUGACGGUAAUGGGUAAAGAAGCACCGGCUAACUACGUGCCAGCAGCCGCGGUGAUACGUAGGGUGCGGGCGUUGUCCGGAUUUAUUGGGCGUAGAGGGCUCGUAGGUGGUUGAUCGCGUCGGAAGUGUAAUCUUGGGGCUUAACCCUGAGCGUGCUUUCGAUACGGGUUGACUUGAGGAAGGUAGGGGAGAAUGGAAUUCCUGGUGGAGCGGUGGAAUGCGCAGAUAUCAGGAGGAACACCAGUGGCGAAGGCGGUUCUCUGGGCCUUUCCUGACGCUGAGGAGCGAAAGCGUGGGGAGCGAACAGGCUUAGAUACCCUGGUAGUCCACGCUGUAAACGGUGGGUACCAGGUGUGGGGUCCAUUCCACGGGUUCCGUGCCGUAGCUAACGCUUUAAGUACCCCGCCUGGGGAGUACGGCCGCAAGGCUAAAACUCAAAGGAAUUGACGGGGCCCCGCACAAGCGGCGGAGCAUGCGGAUUAAUUCGAUGCAACGCGUAGAACCUUACCUGGGUUUGACAUGGAUCGGGAGUGCUCAGAGAUGGGUGUGCCUCUUUUGGGGUCGGUUCACAGGUGGUGCAUGGCUGUCGUCAGCUCGUGUCGUGAGAUGUUGGGUUAAGUCCCGCAACGAGCGCAACCCUUGUUCACUGUUGCCAGCACGUUAUGGUGGGGACUCAGUGGAGACCGCCGGGGUCAACUCGGAGGAAGGUGGGGAUGACGUCAAGUCAUCAUGCCCCUUAUGUCCAGGGCUUCACGCAUGCUACAAUGGCUGGUACAGAGAGUGGCGAGCCUGUGAGGGUGAGCGAAUCUCGGAAAGCCGGUCUCAGUUCGGAUUGGGGUCUGCAACUCGACCUCAUGAAGUCGGAGUCGCUAGUAAUCGCAGGUCAGCAACGCUGCGGUGAAUACGUUCCCGGG